rnacentral:misc_RNA from 1 species
CUUCCCCAGCCAAACACUAGAAUAUCAAAUAACCUACCCAUUUCUCAUCUGAGAGGGAAAAAAAUAUAUAUAAUGCAACUAACUUAUCAUACACAAAUUAAUAACCUACAUUUACAUUCGAGGAAAAAACCUCUGUAUGAUCAUAUCCAUAAUUUUAUAGUAAAUGUCGUGGUAAAUGCCCAGCAAAGAAAGGAAAAAUCACAACUGAGGCAAUGCUUCUGUUCUGGGUUCACAGAAUUUUUACCCUGCCUUGGAUGUGUGUGACCUUUUCCUUGUUAAAAACAUUAAAAACCGCGGGAAAAAUGACUUCUUUUUCUUCUUUUGAACCUUUACUUCCGGGGACAAUUCAGGUUCAGUGCUAGUUACAUGCGCAUGUGCUUUUGGACUGGACUCAUACUCGACUGAGGCAUCUGGUACCUUGUCAAAGUUCUU